rnacentral:rRNA from 1 species
AGGCAGAGGGAAGAAAGGGAGGCUCUUCGGAGCUUUCGCUGGAGGAGGGGCUUGCGUUUGAUUAGCUGGUUGGAGGGGUAACGGCCCACCAAGGCGACGAUCAGUAGCCGGUCUGAGAGGAUGAACGGCCACAUUGGGACUGAGACACGGCCCAGACUCCUACGGGAGGCAGCAGUGGGGAAUCUUCCGCAAUGGACGAAAGUCUGACGGAGCAACGCCGCGUGAACGAUGACGGCCUUCGGGUUGUAAAGUUCUGUUAUACGGGACGAAUGGUACGACGGUCAAUACCCGUCGUAAGUGACGGUACCGUAAGAGAAAGCCACGGCUAAUUACGUGCCAGCAGCCGCGGUAAUACGUAGGUGGCAAGCGUUGUCCGGAAUUAUUGGGCGUAAAGGGCGCGCAGGCGGCGUCGUAAUUUGGUCUUAAAAGUGCGGGGCUUAACCCCGUGAGGGGACCGAAACUGCGAUGCUAGAGUAUCGGAGAGGAAAGCGGAAUUCCUAGUGUAGCGGUGAAAUGCGUAGAUAUUAGGAGGAACACCAGUGGCGAAAGCGGCUUUCUGGACGACAACUGACGCUGAGGCGCGAAAGCCAGGGGAGCAAACGGGAUUAGAUACC